CAUUUCUCACCGGAUCUCGUACCCACCCGCUUCCAUACCCACGCCGCGCUAUCUCCUGUCUUCCUCCUCUCGGGGCAUCCUUGUACAUCCCCUUCUCCUAAGAUUCCGCCUCUCCAUCUAACCCUAGCUCCCCGACUAAGCAGCCCUCCUAAAGGCAACGGCGGAUCGGAUUCUAGGCUCCGGUGCAAGUUCGUGAUGCGCGCAUCAAUCAAUAUUUGCGGAGUGAAUCAUCCCUCUCCCGAACGAAGAUGUUUGGGCGAUUUGUUGGCCUCUGAGUUAUUCAAGUGUCAUCUUGGGAGGCCAUCAUGUUAUUCAUCACUUGAGAUUUUCUAAUCUCAUGGAUGAACUUUGAAGAUUUGAUUAAUUGAUUGUAUAUAAGGGACAUUGACUAAUAAAAUAUGGGAGCUAAUUGCUGCAUAGCUACCAGGGAGAGCACAUCCAUGUAUGGCUCCAAUUGAAAUUUCAACGUACAGGGGUAAGGCACUCGCCACCAUGGAGCUUCGGGUGGGAUAACCGUACACACAUAGCUCCACAGUAACUGUUUUAAAGUCCAACGGCUAAAGCCCUUAGGUGGAGAGUUAAGACAUGGUCAAUGACUCUUUUUGUAAUGGUGUAUCCAAUGUUUUUGGGUCAGUGGAUUUAACAUGAGAAAUUGGGAAUUGUUUACAUCAUCCGUAGUCCGUUAUUACCAUCCA